rnacentral:rRNA from 1 species
AACCUGCCGUAUGCAGGGGGACAACAGUCAGAAAUGACUGCUAAUACCGCAUAAGCACACAAUGCUGCAUGGCAUGGUGUGAAAAGAUUUAUCGGCAUACGAUGGCCCCGCGUCUGAUUAGCCAGUUGGCAGGGUAAUGGCCUACCAAAGCAACGAUCAGUAGCCGGCUUGAGAGAGUGACCGGCCACAUUGGGACUGAGACACGGCCCAGACUCCUACGGGAGGCAGCAG